UGACACGUCAGCACAUGUUGGUUCCACCCAUCUUCAAACUGUAGAUCUGAGGGGGAGGGAACAAGGAAACAUGAGCAGAGAGGAGCUGGCUGUGUUUGAGAGCAGGAAGAAGAGGGAGGGCUUAUCAAGAGCUGAGUCAUUCCAGGAAGAGGAGCUUGUAAAUGAUCUGUAGAGUUCAUACACUUUGAUCGCUGUGAAGAAAAUAGUUCAUGUUAAAGUUUCACCUGGAAAUGAGUCCAAAAGAAACCAGAAGACUUUUCUAAAACACGGCUGAUCUGAAGGUGAAAUAAAGGUAAAUCCUCCAGUCAGUGACAAUCAUCAGCCCAACAACCACUAAUAAAGGCAAUCAUUUCAUCUUCUUCAUCUUCAGUGAUGAAAUCCUCGACUGUCUGUAAAAGGUGAGCUGUCAGAGACGAGGACUACAAACACAGGAGCAUCACCAGCUGCCAUUUUGUCACCUUUGUUCUUUUCUUUGGAAACCAACAGACGCCCAGGUUACAGCGGAGUCGAUUAGUAUUCGCCGCCACGGUCCUUUCCGUAUGUCACGGGGGACGAAGGACGAAGGCUCACGCUGGAGAAACAAUCGUCCUGUUUGCACAGCCGCCAUGUUAAAGACCACAUCACAGCACAGAGGUUAUAGCAGCACCUUUCCACAGAUAAACCAGCCCCCAUCAACAUUCCCAUCAGUGGCUGCAGGUCAGGCUGACAGGAUACCCAUGGCCUUAUUCCAAGACCGCCUCAGCGCUGCUGCUGCUGCUGCCACGUCAAUUUCAGCCCAGGAGGAAGUCAAUGCCCUCCAAGAGUGCCUCUUCAACAGCAGGAGAGAUGCAUUUUAAUUGGCUGCAAAGGUGCAGGAUAAAAAAGACAGUGUGCAAUCACGCCUGCGGUUUAUUAUCUGUGAAGAGCGUGGAAGUGGUGUUAAAACCGUUUUAACCAUCCUGUAACGUGACGGAAACAUUCGCACUCCUUCUCGUUAUUUAGCUCGUCGAACACGUGAAGAAAGAGCCGUCAGUCCGGACGUUUGCUCCGCUUCCUAAAGGGAACACAGGUUCUGACAUGUCAACAUCUGUCCCCUCACACCCAUAAUCGCUUGUAAUUUAAGUUUUCUUCCUGGGGUUGGUGUGAAGAGAGAAUAAAAAGCUCCUGACGGUCUGACUGUGUUCGAUUUAACAAAUUAAAACCUGAGCGCACACUGACUCGUAAGUUAUUUUAAUUAUCAAUAAAUCAGCUGAUUGUUACCUUGAUUUAAUCUUUUAAUUGUCUGCUCUGUGAAAUGUCAUCAGAGGUUUCCAGGUUGACAUCUUGUCAAACACAAGACGAAGAAAACACACAAAUAAAAAAUUACCUGACUGAACUUCAUCAACGGAAGUAAAUUGUACCAAACAAACUUAGUGUAAUCGUGUAAUUAAACAUACUAACUAACUAACCGUCGCUGUCUCUCUCUGAAUCUGAUGAUCUGACUCAUGAGGAGGUGAGACAGGCAGCUCGGGUUUGAUCAUUAUUUGUUUCUCAACUAUCUGUCUUUUUUUUUUUUUACAUGAACAGCUCGGUCUGAAAAUAUCACUGAGGUGAUUUUUUUUUCACGCCUCUAAGUGAAAUCUUCUGUAAUAAAAUGAAAUGCUUUCGUAAACGCAAAGAGUUCAUCUGUAAAACACACGGCGGUUUGUAAAUCCUGCAAUCAAACGCUGACUGAGCGACGACCUAAGUCGGCUUCAUCCGGUCCAGUCUUGGUCUUGACUUGAUCUCGAUACACUCUGGUCUUGGCCAUGACUUGGUCACAUUCAGUCCGCCUCAGCUCCACCCACGCUAAACGUCUUUGCCCAUUGGCAGGACUGCCAAGAUGGAGACAAGACACACUGAGCUUCACAAUGGCUCUUCAUAAACCUGUGGGGGACGUCACAGAGACCACGUCCAGGACAGGACAUCAAAAACUGAAAAUACUAAAAGUUGUUGUUGAAUAUCUGUCAGAUAUUUCUUGCUUUAUCCGUUAGACGUCUUCAAACGGGUCAGCUCCGUCCUCGUUCAGCAUGUGCCAGGACUCGUGCCUAUCUAAUUCAUUUCUGAUUAGAGUCACUGGGCAGCUCUCCCAUCGCGUGAGGAGAGAAAACUCAUUUCCUUAUUACCGAUCGAUACCUCCACGUGCCUCACCUGCGCACUGUCUGCCUCAUGCCGGGAGAGGUAAUUUCUUCAGGGCUUCACCUUUAACAGGCAGGACAGUCGAGCUGAGUGACGAGAGGCUGAACGGAUGGCGAGCGCGCUGCAGCUUUAACAGCAUGACGGCAUGCAUGAGUGGGUUCACACGUGUGGGUGUGAACACGAGCCUGCUGGAUUGGCUGUGCUGCACGCUGUGUGUCGAGUGCUCCACCUAGUGUUGAGCUGCUGGAAAAACACAAAGCAUGUCAGCGUGGAUGAUGUUGUCAGAGCUCUGACCUUUUGUUGUUCCUUUAUUCCUGCGACAACAGGGACGCUGCAGACUGUUGAGUCACUCGCAUGUGGUUGAGGAGAGCCGGGCGGCGUAAUGCGAGCAGACGAAAAGGGCGGAGGAGGAGGAGGAGGAGGAGGAGAUGAGAAAAUCUACUGAUGGGUUCGAGGGAUGUAAAGCCGCAAGGUUGUAUCUGUGCGGUUCAAGGUGAACGUGAUCGAGGCUUCAGUUCGGUACAGGCUGUACCGCCUCCCACACACGUGCACUGCAGAAAGAUUAAGAGCCUCAAACAGGUAAUUACAACCAAAGGCAAUUUAUCUGCUCAUAAUUACAUCCAAUUAAAGAGACUUCCUUUCUGCGAAUGUGAGGAUUGGACAGGAAUGUCCACACAACCUCCACGACUCCACCGUAAAUGUUACGCUUGGCUAACGACGGUGGCGUCCGCAGUUAAUUGAAUAAUGGGGCAGUGAGAUCAGAACCCCCGAGG